GCGAGUUUGCAUGCAGGAGCGUACUGAAGGAAUGCUAUGGAGGAACCCAUGGGCUUUCCUACAGAAACAACAAGCUUGAGCUGGACAAUGCAGGACUGGAGUUUGAGAGAAAAGUAAAGAAGAGGCCAGGGCCUAAAAGCAACAGAGCUGGAGGACCAUGGACUGUGACCUCUGAAACUGUCCACCCAUUGCUCUUUUCUGGCAACAAACACCUGCCUUCGGCAGGCUGUAGGCUGGGCAACACACAACAAAAUCAAGUAUGUCCAGUAAACACCCUCAGGCAUCCUCAUAAUGAUAAUAAAAAGUACCUGGGUGAGUAUUGGUGACUCAGGGCUCUUUUAACUAAAUUACUGACUUUGUCCUACAAAUAUUUCUAAGGCAACAUGCUGGGUAACCAAAAAAAAAAGUUUACUCAUC